AACGAACGCUGGCGGCAGGCCUAACACAUGCAAGUCGAACGAACCCUUCGGGGUUAGUGGCGCACGGGUGAGUAACGCGUGGGAACAUGCCCUUCAGUACGGGAUAACGUUGGGAAACUGACGCUAAUACCGUAAAAUAUCUCCGGAUCAAAGAUUUAUCGCUGAGGGAUUGGCCCGCGUCUGAUUAGCUUGUUGGUGAGGUAAGAGCUCACCAAGGCUACGAUCAGUAGCUGGUCUGAGAGGAUGACCAGCCACACUGGGACUGAGACACGGCCCAGACUCCUACGGGAGGCAGCAGUGAGGAAUAUUGGACAAUGGGCGAAAGCCUGAUCCAGCCAUGCCGCGUGUGUGAUGAAGGCCUUAGGGUUGUAAAGCACUUUCGACGGGGAGUGAUAAUGACGUACCCGUACGAAGAAGCCACGGCGUAAAUUACGUGCCAGCAGCCGCGGUAA
rnacentral:rRNA from 1 species